rnacentral:rRNA from 1 species
CGCCAGUGUAAAUAACUGGUGAAGAAAGGGCCGGGCAAGACCGGUGCCAGCCGCCGCGGUAAUACCGGCGGCUCGAGUGGUGGCCACUAUUACUGGGCUUAAAGCGUCCGUAGCUGGAUUGUUAAGUCUCUUGGGAAAUCCACCGGCUCAACCGAUGGGCGUUCAGGAGAAACUGGCAAUCUAGGGACCGGGAGAGGUGAGAGGUACUCCAGGGGUAGGAGUGAAAUCCUGUAAUCCUUGGGGGACCACCUGUGGCGAAGGCGUCUCACUAGAACGGCUCCGACAGUGAGGGACGAAAGCUGGGGGAGCAAACCGGAUUAGAUACCCGGGUAGUCCCAGCUGUAAACGAUGCGCGUUAGGUGUAUCGGUGACCACGAGUCAUCGAGGUGCCGAAGGGAAACCGUGAAACGU